CAGCGUCACAAGUGGGAACCACAUUUAUUGGGCCUAAAGCGUCCGUAGCUGGUCGUGCAGAUUCUUUGUGAAAUUGUUAAUGUCAACUUAACAGCGUGCAAAGAACACCUGUAUGACUUGGGACUGGGAGGAGUCAGAGGUAUUCCAGGGGAAGCGGUAAAAUGUUAUAAUCCCUGGAGGACCACCGAUGGCGAAGGCAUCUGACUAGAACAGGUCCGACAGUGAGGGACGAAAGCCAGGGGAUCAAACCGGAUUAGAUACCCGAGUAGUCC
rnacentral:rRNA from 1 species